UAGGUAAGCGAAAUCUUAGGAAAGUAGCGAAGCACAUGAUGACGGCUUCCAGGAAAAGCUUCUGGCAAUGCAUAUGCGGCCCGUACCAAAACCGACACAGGUGGGCAGGGAGAGAAUCCCGAGGUGAGCGAGAGAACUGUUGCCAAGGAACUCGGCAAAAUGACUCCGUAAGUUAGCGAGAAGGAGUGCUUAAGCAAUUAAGCCGCAGUGAAGAGGCCCAAGCGACUGUUUAACUAAAACACAGCUCUCUGCGAAGUCGCAAGACGAAGUAUAGGGGGUGACACCUGCCCGGUGCUGGAAGGUUAAGAGGAUCUGUUAAGAGCGAUCUGAAGCAGUGAUCCGAAGCCCCAGUGAACGGCGGCCGUAACAAUAACGGUCCUAAGGUAGCGAAAUUCCUUGUCAGGUAAGAUCUGACCCGCACGAAAGGUGUAACGAUUUGGGCGCUGUCUCGGCAGCAGACUCGGUGAAAUCUUAGUACCUGUGAAAAUGCAGGUUACCCGCAACUAGACGGAAAGACCCCAUGGAGCUUUACUGCAGCCUGAUAUUGAAUUCUGGUCAUACAUGUACAGGAUAGGUGGGAGACAAAGAGACGUGCACGCCAGUGUACGAGGAGUCGACGUUGGGAUACCACUCUUGUGUGACUGGGGUUCUAACCUGGUAUCGAGAACAGGUACGGGGAGAGUGUCAGGUGGGCAGUUUGACUGGGGCGGUCGCCUCCCAAAGAGUAACGGAGGCGCCCAAAGGUACGCUCAGAUUGGAUGGAAACCAACCGUCGAGUGCAAUUGCAGAAGCGUGCUUGACUGUGAGACAGACAAGUCGAACAGGGACGAAAGUCGGGAAUAGUGAUCCGGCGGUGCCGAAUGGAAGGGCCGUCGCUCAACGGAUAAAAGCUACCCUGGGGAUAACAGGCUGAUCUCGCCCAAGAGUUCACAUCGACGGCGAGGUUUGGCACCUCGAUGUCGGCUCAUCGCAUCCUGGAGCUGGAUUCGGUUCCAAGGGUUGGGCUGUCCGCCCAUUAAAGCGGUACGCGAGCUGGGUUCAGAACGUCGUGAGACAGUUCGGUCCCUAUCUGUUGUGGGCGAAGGAGAUCUGCGGAGAGCUGUCCUCAGUACGAGGGGACCGGGAUGGACCUACCGCUGGUGCACCGGUUGUUCCGCCAGGGGCAUAGCCGGGUAGCUAAGUAGGGAAAGGAUAAGCGCUGAAAGCAUCUAAGCACGAAGCCUACUCCAAGAUGAGAUCUUCCAUUCGCAAGAAGUAGACCCCUUAAAGACGAUAAGGUAGAUAGGCCAGGGAUGGAAGUGCAGUGAUGUACGGAGUUGACUGGUACUAAUCGGUCGAGGACUUAAU
rnacentral:rRNA from 1 species